rnacentral:rRNA from 1 species
AACAAACGCUGGCGGCGUGCCUAAUACAUGCAAGUCGAACGGGGAAAGCUUUCGGGUGAGUACUAGUGGCGCACGGGUGAGGAACGCGUGGAUAAUCUGCCUUAGAGUGGGGGAUAACUAGUCGAAAGAUUAGCUAAUACCGCAUAAGACCACAGGAGCUGCGGCUCAAGGGGUCAAAGGUUUUUCGCUCUAAGAUGAGUCCGCGUAAGAUUAGCUAGUUGGUGAGGUAACGGCUCACCAAGGCGACGAUCUUUAACUGGUCUGAGAGGAUGAUCAGUCAAACUGGAACUGAGACACGGUCCAGACUCCUACGGGAGGCAGCAGUAGGGAAUAUUGCACAAUGGAGGAAACUCUGAUGCAGCGACGCCGCGUGAGUGAUGAAGGCCUUCGGGUCGUAAAGCUCUGUCGCAGGGGAAUAACACAAUGAAUGUACCCUGUAAGAAAGGAUCGGCUAACUUCGUGCCAGCCGCCGCCGUAACAC